CUCUUCGUCCUCACGUGGAUCCUCCGGGCCUCCGCCUCGCACGGGCCCGUCUGACGCCCACACGCUCCCCAGUGCCCGGCUCCCGGCGCUGACAGCGCGGACGGGACGUGGCAGGGUCCCCGCGAGGCUCAGAGCGUGUUGGACACGCCUCACACGCAGGAGCCAGAUGCCCGGGAGCGCGGCCACGCGAGGGAACAGCAUGGCGCGUGCGCGCGCACCGGGGUGGGUGAAGCAGUGACAGACAGGAAGGACAGCACGGCGCAUGAGCGUACGUGAAGGGCUCCGUGCGGCGGGACAAAAAACGGUGCUAGCGCGCAGCGAAGAACCAGGCGAGGGGCGGGGUCAGAGAGAAAGGCCAGCGAGGGGCGGGGCCGGAAGGACAGUGCUCCUCCCCUCAGGGGCUGCUUCUGAGCUUGGCUCCUGAUUGACAGGAGGCAGAGCCCCGUGUUGUCACUAGCGGGCCACAUCGCUCAGGAGUAAAACAGUUUCUGUGAGAGACAAAAAAAGGUCGAUGUGUUCUUAGGUUCCAAAGAUUUCUCCCUGGAAUCAGGACAGAAAGACAUCAUGACAUAUUGAGUUUCUUAAUAUAGCAGAAGAUGAUGGAAUCAUCCAAGGUAAUCAAACCAUCAAACCUGAUGUAGCUUUCAAGCUAGACCAAGAAGAGUCACGGAUAAUGGAUGAAGAAAUCCUAACUCAAAACUUUUUAGAAAUCUGGCUAAACAGUAAUUCUGAGCCAUGGCCUCAAGAUAAACAAGACAAGCUUAAAAGGAUGGAAAGAGGCAAUGGAGAUAAUGUUUUGGAGAAACUGUUUCAGCCAAGCAUGAACUCUGUUUAUUUAGAAAUGAGAUUCCAUAUAUGUGGUACAAGUGAAAAGAAUGUAAAAAAUCCUUUAAAUUUUUUUAUUCUAAAA
rnacentral:lncRNA from 1 species